CCAUUGCUUAGUUGAUAAAGCACAAGGCUCUUAACCUUGUGGACGUGGGUUUAGGCCCCAUGGUGGG
rnacentral:tRNA from 1 species